GAGAGUGCAGGCGGUUUUCUAAGUCUGAUGUGAAAGACCUUCGGCUUAACCGGAGAAGUGCAUCGGAAACUGGAUAACUUGAGUGCAGAAGAGGGUAGUGGAACUCCAUGUGUAGCGGUGGAAUGCGUAGAUAUAUGGAAGAACACCAGUGGCGAAGGCGGCUACCUGGUCUGCAACUGACGCUGAGACUCGAAAGCAUGGGUAGCGAACAGGAUUAGAUACCCUGGUAG
rnacentral:rRNA from 1 species